ensembl:misc_RNA Metazoa_SRP Metazoan signal recognition particle RNA
GCCGGGCGCGGUGGCGCGUGCCUGUAGUCCCAGCUACUCGGGAGGCUGAGGUGAGAGGAUCGCUUGAGCCCAGGAGUUUUGGGCUGUAGUGUGCUGUGCCGAUUGGAUGUCCACACUAAGUUCGGCAUCAAUAUGGUGACCUCCCGGGAGCGGGGGACCACCAGGUUGCCUAAGGAGGGGUGAACCGGCCCAGGUCGGAAAUGGAGCAGGUCAAAACUCCCGUGCUGAUCAGUAGUGGGAUUGCGCCUCUAAAUAGCCACUGCACUUCAGCCUGGGCAACAUAGUGAGACCCUGUCUCU